rnacentral:tRNA from 1 species
AUUUAAAUAGUUUAAUAAUAAAACAUUGAAUUGUGAUUUCAAAAAUGUAAAUAAACUUUAAAUC